rnacentral:rRNA from 1 species
UACGUAGGGUGCAAGCGUUGUCCGGAAUUAUUGGGCGUAAAGAGCUCGUAGGCGGUCUGUCGCGUCGAAUGUGAAAAUCCGGGGCUCAACCCCGGACCUGCAUUCGAUACGGGCAGACUAGAGUUCGGUAGGGGAGUCUGGAAUUCCUGGUGUAGCGGUGAAAUGCGCAGAUAUCAGGAGGAACACCGGUGGCGAAGGCGGGUCUCUGGGCCGAUACUGACGCUGGAGGAGCGAAAGCGUGGGGAGCGAACAGGA